AUUGAACGCUGGCGGCAUGCCUUACACAUGCAAGUCGAACGGUAACAGGUCUUCGGAUGCUGACGAGUGGCGAACGGGUGAGUAAUACAUCGGAACGUGCCUAGUAGUGGGGGAUAACUACUCGAAAGAGUGGCUAAUACCGCAUGAGAUCUACGGAUGAAAGCAGGGGAUCGCAAGACCUUGUGCUACUAGAGCGGCCGAUGGCAGAUUAGGUAGUUGGUGGGAUAAAAGCUUACCAAGCCGACGAUCUGUAGCUGGUCUGAGAGGACGAUCAGCCAAACUGGGACGGAGAGACGGCCCAGACUCCUACGGGAGGCAGCAGUGGGGAAUUUUGGACAAUGGGCGCAAGCCUGAUCCAGCAAUGCCGCGUGCAGGAUGAAGGCCUUCGGGUUGUAAACUGCUUUUGUACGGAACGAAAAGCCCCGGGUUAAUACCCUGGGGUCAUGACGGUACCGUAAGAAUAAGCACCGGCUAACUACGUGCCAGCCGCCGCGGUAA
rnacentral:rRNA from 1 species